rnacentral:rRNA from 1 species
AUGAACGCUGGCGGCGUGCCUCAUACCUGCCAGUCGCGCGAACAGACGAGGAGCUUGCUCCUCUGACGUUAGCGGCGGCCGGGUGAGUAACACGUGGAUAACCUACCUAUAAGACUGGGAUAACUUCGGGAAACCGGAGCUAAUACCGGAUAAUAUAUUGAACCGCAUGGUUCAAUAGUGAAAGACGGUUUUGCUGUCACUUAUAGAUGGAUCCGCGCCGCAUUAGCUAGUUGGUAAGGUAACGGCUUACCAAGGCAACGAUGCGUAGCCGACCUGAGAGGGUGAUCGGCCACACUGGAACUGAGACACGGUCCAGACUCCUACGGGAGGCAGCAGUAGGGAAUCUUCCGCAAUGGGCGAAAGCCUGACGGAGCAACGCCGCGUGAGUGAUGAAGGUCUUCGGAUCGUAAAACUCUGUUAUUAGGGAAGAACAAAUGUGUAAGUAACUAUGCACGUCUUGACGGUACCUAAUCAGAAAGCCACGGCUAACUACGUG